rnacentral:rRNA from 32 species
AAACGCCCGGUUACAUUCCGAACCCGGAAGCUAAG